rnacentral:rRNA from 1 species
GACGAAGGUGGCUAGCGUUGCUCGGAUUUACUGGGCAUAAAGCGCGCGUAGGUGGUCGUGUAAGCGGGGGAUGAAAGCCCAUGGCUCACCCAUGGAACUGUCCCCCGGACUGCACGGCUCGAGGAAGGAAGGGGAGAAUGGAAUUCCCGGUGUAGGGGUGAAAUGCGUAGAUAUCGGGAGGAACGCCGGUGGCGAAAGCGACUACCUGGCCUGUUAUUGACGCUGAGGCGCGAAAGCUAGGGGAGCAAACGGG